CUCAGCAGCAGGCCAGCAGCAGUGUGGACAAUGUCAGUGCUCUCUUCCCACGGAUGGACGUGCCCAGGGAAGGCUGGAGGAGCUGGGUGCCACAAUAAUGUGAGAAACAUAAAAUUUUGCUGUGAGUCCUGCAGGGGGAAAAGAGCAACACACAGGAACAAAACCAAAACAUGCUUAUGCAGUUCAAAACUGAAACAAG